GAUGAACGCUGGCGGCGUGCCUAAUACAUGCAAGUCGAGCGAACAGAUGAGGAGCUUGCUCCUCUGACGUUAGCGGCGGACGGGUGAGUAACACGUGGAUAACCUACCUAUAAGACUGGGAUAACUUCGGGAAACCGGAGCUAAUACCGGAUAAUAUAUUGAACCGCAUGGUUCAAUAGUGAAAGACGGUUUUGCUGUCACUUAUAUAUGGAUCCGCGCCGCAUUAGCUAGUUGGUAAGGUAACGGCUUACCAAGGCAACGAUGCGUAGCCGACCUGAGAGGGUGAUCGGCCACACUGGAACUGAGACACGGUCCAGACUCCUACGGGAGGCAGCAGUAGGGAAUCUUCCGCAAUGGGCGAAAGCCUGACGGAGCAACGCCGCGUGAGUGAUGAAGGUCUUCGGAUCGUAAAACUCUGUUAUUAGGGAAGAACAAAUGUGUAAGUAACUAUGCACGUCUUGACGGUACCUAAUCAGAAAGCCACGGCUAUCUACGUG
rnacentral:rRNA from 1 species